UGCCAGCCGCCGCGGUAAUACGGAGGGGGUUAGCGUUGUUCGGAAUUACUGGGCGUAAAGCGCGCGUAGGCGGCUAUUUAAGUCAGAUGUGAAAGUCCACGGCUCAACCGUGGAAGUGCAUUUGAAACUGGAUGGCUUGAGUACUGGAGGGGGUGGUGGAAUUCCCGGUGUAGAGGUGAAAUUCGUAGAUAUCGGGAGGAAUACCGGUGGCGAAGGCGGCUCACUGGACCGAUACUGACGCUGAGGAGCGAAAGCGUGGGGAGCAAACAGGAUUAGAUA
rnacentral:rRNA from 1 species